rnacentral:rRNA from 1 species
GGCUUAGAGUUUGAUCAUGGCUCAGGACGAACGCUGGCGGCGUGCUUAACACAUGCAAGUCGAACGGGGUGUUUAUUUCGGUAAACACCAAGUGGCGAACGGGUGAGUAACGCGUAAGCAAUCUACCUUCAAGAUGGGGACAACACUUCGAAAGGGGUGCUAAUACCGAAUGAAUGUAAGAGUAUCGCAUGAGACACUUACUAAAGGAGGCCUCUGACAUAAGCUUCCGCUUGAAGAUGAGCUUGCGUCUGAUUAGCUAGUUGGUGAGGGUAAAGGCCCACCAAGGCGACGAUCAGUAGCCGGUCUGAGAGGAUGAACGGCCACAUUGGGACUGAGACACGGCCCAGACUCCUACGGGAGGCAGCAGUGGGGAAUCUUCCGCAAUGGGCGAAAGCCUGACGGAGCAACGCCGCGUGAGCGAUGAAGGUCUUAGGAUCGUAAAGUUCUGUUGUUAGGGACGAAGGGUAAGAAUCAUAAUAAGGUUUUUAUUUGACGGUACCUAACGAGGAAGCCACGGCUAACUACGUGCCAGCAGCCGCGGUAAUACGUAGGCGGCAAGCGUUGUCCGGAAUUAUUGGGCGUAAAGGGAGCGCAGGCGGGAAACUAAGCGGAUCUUAAAAGUGCGGGGCUCAACCCCGUGAGGGGGUCCGAACUGGUUUUCUUGAGUGCAGAGAGGAAAGCG